rnacentral:rRNA from 1 species
AAUGAACGCUGGCGGCAGGCCUAACACAUGCAAGUCGAACGGAUCCUUCGGGAUUAGUGGCGGACGGGUGAGUAACGCGUGGGAACAUACCCUUUGGUACGGAAUAGCCUCGGGAAACUGGGAGUAAUACCGUAUGUGGUCGAGAGACGAAAGAUUUAUCGCCAAAGGAUUGGCCCGCGUUGGAUUAGGUAGUUGGUGGGGUAAUGGCCUACCAAGCCGACGAUCCAUAGCUGGUUUGAGAGGAUGACCAGCCACACUGGGACUGAGACACGGCCCAGACACCUACGGGAGGCAGCAGUGGGGAAUCUUAGACAAUGGGGGAAACCCUGAUCUAGCCAUGCCGCGUGAUCGAUGAAGGCCUUAGGGUUGUAAAGAUCUUUCAGGUGGGAAGAUAAUGACUGUACCACCAGAAGAAGCCCCGGCUAACUCCGUGCCAGCCGCCGCGGUAA